rnacentral:rRNA from 1 species
UACGUAGGUGGCAAGCGUUGUCCGGAUUUACUGGGCGUAAAGAGCGCGCAGGCGGUCGUUCAAGUCGCGUGUGAAGGCCCCCCGGCUCAACUGGGGAGGGUCACGCGAUACUGAUCGACUCGAAGGCAGGAGAGGGUAGUGGAAUUCCCGGUGUAGUGGUGAAAUGCGUAGAUAUCGGGAGGAACACCAGUGGCGAAGGCGACUACCUGGCCUGUUCUUGACGCUGAGGCGCGAAAGCUAGGGGAGCAAACGGG